rnacentral:rRNA from 1 species
AGUGAACGCUGGCGGUAGGCCUAACACAUGCAAGUCGAACGGCAGCACAGUAAGAGCUUGCUCUUACUGGUGGCGAGUGGCGGACGGGUGAGGAAUACAUCGGAAUCUACUUUUUCGUGGGGGAUAACGUAGGGAAACUUACGCUAAUACCGCAUACGACCUACGGGUGAAAGCAGGGGAUCUUCGGACCUUGCGCGAUUGAAUGAGCCGAUGUCGGAUUAGCUAGUUGGCGGGGUAAAGGCCCACCAAGGCGACGAUCCGUAGCUGGUCCGAGAGGAUGAUCAGCCACACUGGAACUGAGACACGGUCCAGACUCCUACGGGAGGCAGCAGUGGGGAAUAUUGGACAAUGGGCGCAAGCCUGAUCCAGCCAUACCGCGUGGGUGAAGAAGGCCUUCGGGUUGUAAAGCCCUUUUGUUGGGAAAGAAAAGCAGCAGGUUAAUACCCCGCUGUUCUGACGGUACCCAAAGAAUAAGCACCGGCUAACUUCGUG